UACGUAGGGUCCGAGCGUUGUCCGGAAUUACUGGGCGUAAAGAGCUCGUAGGUGGUUUGUCGCGUUGUUCGUGAAAACUCACAGCUCAACUGUGGGCGUGCGGGCGAUACGGGCAGACUGGAGUACUGCAGGGGAGACUGGAAUUCCUGGUGUAGCGGUGAAAUGCGCAGAUAUCAGGAGGAACACCAGCGGCGAAGGCGCUGCUCUGGGCCGGUACUGACGCUGAGGAGCGAAAGCGUGGGGAGCGAACAGG
rnacentral:rRNA from 1 species